UACGUAGGGUGCAAGCGUUGUCCGGAAUUAUUGGGCGUAAAGAGCUCGUAGGCGGUCUGUCGCGACUGCUGUGAAAACUCGGGGCUUAACCCCGGGCCUGCAGUGGGUACGGGCAGACUAGAGUGCGGUAGGGGAGACUGGAAUUCCUGGUGUAGCGGUGAAAUGCGCAGAUAUCAGGAGGAACACCGGUGGCGAAGGCGGGUCUCUGGGCCGUAACUGACGCUGAGGAGCGAAAGCAUGGGGAGCGAACAGG
rnacentral:rRNA from 1 species